GGGAGCAAACAGGAUUAGAUACCCUGGUAGUCCACGCCGUAAACGAUGUCGACUUGGAGGUUGUGCCCUUGAGGCGUGGCUUCCGGAGCUAACGCGUUAAGUCGACCGCCUGGGGAGUACGGCCGCAAGGUUAAAACUCAAAUGAAUUGACGGGGGCCCGCACAAGCGGUGGAGCAUGUGGUUUAAUUCGAUGCAACGCGAAGAACCUUACCUGGUCUUGACAUCCACGGAAGUUUUCAGAGAUGAGAAUGUGCCUUCGGGAACCGUGAGACAGGUGCUGCAUGGCUGUCGUCAGCUCGUGUUGUGAAAUGUUGGGUUAAGUCCCGCAACGAGCGCAACCCUUAUCCUUUGUUGCCAGCGGUCCGGCCGGGAACUCAAAGGAGACUGCCAGUGAUAAACUGGAGGAAGGUGGGGAUGACGUCAAGUCAUCAUGGCCCUUACGACCAGGGCUACACACGUGCUACAAUGGCGCAUACAAAGAGAAGCGACCUCGCGAGAGCAAGCGGACCUCAUAAAGUGCGUCGUAGUCCGGAUUGGAGUCUGCAACUCGACUCCAUGAAGUCGGAAUCGCUAGUAAUCGUGGAUCAGAAUGCCACGGUGAAUACGUUCCCGGGCCUUGUACACAC
rnacentral:rRNA from 1 species